AACGAACGCUGGCGGCAGGCCUAACACAUGCAAGUCGAGCGAACCUUCGGGUUAGCGGCGGACGGGUUAGUAACGCGUGGGAACGUGCCCUUCUCUACGGAAUAGCCCAGGGAAACUUGGAUUAAUACGGUAUACGCCCUUUGGGGGAAAGAUUUAUCGGGGAUGGAUGAGCCCGCGUUUGAUUAGCUAGUUGGUGGGGUAAUGGCCUACCAAGGCGACGAUCAAUAGCUGGUCUGAGAGGAUGAUCAGCCACACUGGGACUGAGACACGGCCCAGACUCCUACGGGAGGCAGCAGUGGGGAAUAUUGGACAAUGGGCGCAAGCCUGAUCCAGCCAUGCCGCGUGAGUGAUGAAGGCCCUAGGGUGGUAAAGCUCUUUCAACGGUGAAGAUAAUGACGGUAGCCGUAGAAGAAGCCCCGGCUAACUUCGUGCCAGCAGCCGCGGUAAUACGAAGGGGGCGAGCGUUGUUCGGAAUUACUGGGCGUAAAGCGCACGUAGGCGGAUUGAUCAGUUGGGGGUGAAAUCCCAGGGCUCAACCCUGGAACUGCCUUCAAUACUG
rnacentral:rRNA from 1 species